GUUCGAUUGAGUCGCUCAGUAAAAACCGUCAUGCUACGUAACAAAUGUUUAAUCGAACUGAACGCACCCUGUUGUUCAUUCUCAUAAUCAUCACCCUCAGAUGCCAUUAUAGCAUUUUGGGGCUAUUUAGUAAGGUAGAGAGUGGGGCCAGGAGAGGGAACUCGCUCAGCUCCUUCCAACCCCUGCUCUUGGGUAAUAGCAUACCCUCUACAGGCGCUUGGUUACCGGCUCAUACUCUUGUAAGAGGAUGACGGCACGUUGGCCCAGGGUGGUGUUCUUCAACAUCCUAGAUGUGUCGGCCUACAAUGCGUUCCUGGUGUGGAUGGAGGUGAAUCCAGGCUGGAAGCAGGGGAAAUUCUUCUAGGGGAGACUAUUCCUUGAAGAGUUGGGGAAAGCCAUGGUGGCACCCCUCAUUCAAAGGUGCCAACGCCUUCCUCAAACACCAUGCUCUGCUGGAUCGGUGAGAGAUAUACAAGGGCCAGAAGCAAGAUCUACGGCCGCCAGAGACAGAAGGGACAAAAGGAAGAGGUGCAAUCUGUGUGCACCAAGAGAUGUCAAAACGAGCAUUAAGUUUCCUAAAUGCAGUGCAUAUAUUUACAAGGCACAUGCAGCAACCGCCACGUGUUGUCCAGCAUGUGGAUGAGAACAACACAAAAUGUAACCACCAUUGAUUGACAGAUUGUGAACAUGUUAAUGUUUUUGUUAUUGUUAGUAAUACUGUUAUUGUUACUGUUGUUCUUUAAUGUGUUCAGACAUUCAUUUUGUAAUAUAGUCAUGUUUUAAUGUGUAGUUUUGGGCCUAUGUCCUUUCUUUACUAAUAAAGUCAUAACGGGCAGUUUUGACCGGGAACAUAACGUGUUAUUGUGCCACUAUUUAAACAUUUGAAAUGGUUUUGAAACAAAUGUCCUUGUUAAACUUUGACACAAAGUAGUCUGUGAUAAAUAGCACAAUAUGUUU